rnacentral:lncRNA from 1 species
CCAUCCCUUCACAUGAAGCCCAACACCAGAGUUUCUAGGACAGCCUCCUCAUUGAUAAAGUGUUCCCUGACUUCUCAAUGAGCUUGUACACUGUAGUGGCAGCGAUAAUGGGCUAUAUCUGGCUGGCCCGGAAUCCUGCCCAUGUUCCAGUCAGUGCCCUGGCUAUCAGUUGUCUGCUGAGCAUGAAUGGCCAGAGGCAGAAAAAGGACAAGGAGCCAUGCUGGUGAGAAGUGGAAGUGAUUAACUUAUGUCGCAUGCUCCAGCGGGAGUUGCAGCCAGCGAUAGGCGAAUGUAUGUUGACAGCUGCCUGGGAGUUCACACCACACCGUCAGCACUCUACAGGAAACAGAUUACUCCAGGGCUUGAGAGCUCGUUGACAGCUGGAGCUUUCUGAUAAAGUUGUCAGAAAGUGAAAAGGACAGUCCCAGGAAAUUCUUUCCCGGUUUCAGGACCUGCAAGCUGUCUCCAUACUCCUGCCCUCGGUGCCCUGUACUGUGGCCACUAGAUGGCGGUGUUGCAUAGGGUCUCCGUUGGCUCCAGUCCACAAGAGACUCCACUCAGCGAAACGCCCGACCUCCAUCCAGACUCCGACCUGCACCCAGCACGGCACGACCUUCCCCAGAGACCCGUGGGUGGACCUCACAUUCUCAGUGCCCAAAGAAUUCCUGCUCUAGGGAUUGCAGAGAUUGGAUUUGGGGUUGCAGAGAGAGCUCUCCAGAGGAAACUUGCUUCUGCUUUUCUGACCUCAACAUUCAGAUGUCCGACUAGAGACCAAACUCAUUCACUUCUGGAGAUGCUGUCUCCCUGUGUUGCUCAGGCUGGUCUCAAACUCCUGGGUUCAAGUGAUCCUUCUGCCUUGGCCUCCCGAAGUCCUCCAUAUCUUUCAAGACUUUACUGAGAUGUCACCUACUCUGGAAAGCCUUCUGGGAUUGUUCUUCCCAUAUGCUGAACAUCUGAGGGCUUUUUAUCAGCACCACGCAUUUGUCUGCCAGCUAUACUCUCCGAACUCUGUUCACUAAUAACCACUGGGGAACGAUUAUUCUCCAAUACCUUUCUAAUGUCUUAGAAUUCGUGACCCUAGGGUUUGCCAACCUGAGGGCCCACAGUGGCCGGUUCAGAAUGCUGGGGACUGCAGUAAACUAGAGGAUUUACCCUGUGGUCACUCCUCAUUCUGGCCACCAAGGCCUUCUGGGAACGACAGUUCAGUGUUGCCAAAUCUUCUACUAGUUUGAAGAUGCUGAUGAUAUGGUUUGGAUCUGUGUCCCCACUCAAAUCUCAUGUCAAAUUAUAAUCCACCUUGUGGGAGGUGAUUGGAUCUUGGGGCGGUCCUCCAUGACUGUAAGCUUCCUGAGGCUGCCCCCUCCGGAAGCAGCUGCUGCCAUACUUCCUGUAUAGCCUUUGGCACUGUAGGCCUGUUAAACCUCUUUUCUUUAUA